rnacentral:ncRNA from 2 species
GGUUUCCUUCGGGGCAGGGUGAAAUUCCCUACCGGCGGUGAUGAGCAAAGAGCUCUCAGUCCGUGACCCGGCUGACUAAGGUCAGACGGUGGAUUUGGUGAAAUUCCAAAGCCGACAGUGAUAGUCUGGAUGGGAGAAGGAAAGG